UUAUAGUCAUUAGACUUCGUGCUCAGACGGUGCAUCAGGCUUCCUUUUCAGGCAAAGGGUUUCCUUGGGUGCCGUCGGCAGGCUGACCGCCCGCUCCCAACCGGUGAGGGCUGGGAGGGGCGCGCUGCCGAAGCAACAGGGGUUUUUCACAUGGGGUUUGGGCUGUCAAGCCCCCGGCGCCGGUGAGGGCGGCGGGGGCGAGGCUGCCUGGCCCUUGCGGGCCGGUCUUUUUAAUGAUCCUUCCGCAGGUUCACCUACGGAAA
rnacentral:misc_RNA from 1 species